UGGGGAAUAUUGGACAAUGGGCGAAAGCCUGAUCCAGCCAUGCCGCGUGGAUGAUGAAGGCCCUAGGGUUGUAAAGUCCUUUCGACGGGGAAGAUAAUGACGGUACCCGUAGAAGAAGCCCCGGCUAACUUCGUGCCAGCAGCCGCGGUAAUACGAAGGGGGCUAGCGUUGCUCGGAAUCACUGGGCGUAAAGCGCACGUAGGCGGUUUUCUAAGUCAGGGGUGAAAUCCCGGAGCUCAACUCCGGAACUGCCCUUGAUACUGGAGAACUCGAGUUCGGGAGAGGUGAGUGGAACUGCGAGUGUAGAGGUGAAAUUCGUAGAUAUUCGCAAGAACACCAGUGGCGAAGGCGGCUCACUGGCCCGAUACUGACGCUGAGGUGCGAAAGCGUGGGGAGCAA
rnacentral:rRNA from 1 species